GUUCUUGUACAUGCUGUACAUACAUACUUUGACCAUUUUCCCUACAAUGUGAGGACAUUUUUUUGGUCCUCACUUUUUUAGAAGCAUACCAGAAGCUUUCUAUACCAGUUAGAGGUACGGUGUGAAUUAAGUUUUAGUUAAGGUUAAGGUUAGGAAUAGAUCAGCGUUGGUUAUGGUUAGGGUUACGGUAUGGGUUAGGCAUGGUGGAAUCAGAAAAAUGAAUGGAGGUCAAUGGAGGGUCUAUGAUAGAAAGACAGGCAUGUGUGUGUGUGUGGGUGUGGGUGUGCGAGAGAGAGGAAAAGAGGGAGGGUCAGAACUCCGGGCACAGCCUGAUCAGUGUUUCAGUCUCCCUGGUUCUGCCUGCUCGCUGCCGUCUCCUUACAGAACUCUUAAGCCCAUCUCUUGUGUCGGUACUUCAGAAUCAGGUUUUAGAUAAACUUAGGGUUAGCACUGCCUGGUUAAGGCGAGCACGGAGAUGAAUGGUUGUACCAUACCUGCAUCAAUCCCUGAGGAUGGAGAAGCCCUGAACCACUUUCAUCACAGGGAGAUGAACGGCUACCAUCAGAGGGUCCAGGCUGGUGAUGGAGGAGAGGCUGAGGUCCCCGUGUCCAAGUCCCAGAGACGGAAGAGCGAUGUCAAAGUCUACAAAGAGUUUUGUGACUUUUAUGCUCGCUUCAACAUGGCCAAUGCUCUGGCCAAUGCCAUCUGUGAGCGCUGCAAGAGUGGCUUCGCCCCAGCAGAAAAGAUAGUGAACAGCAAUGGAGAGCUUUAUCAUGAGCAGUGCUUCGUCUGUGCUCAGUGCUUCCAGCAGUUCCCAGAGGGACUCUUUUACGAGUUUGAAGGCAGGAAGUACUGUGAACACGACUUCCAGAUGCUUUUCGCACCUUGCUGCCACCAGUGCGGUGAGUUCAUCAUUGGCCGUGUGAUCAAGGCAAUGAACAACAGUUGGCACCCAGACUGUUUCUGCUGUGAUCUGUGCCAGGCUGUGCUCGCAGAUGUUGGAUUUGUUAAAAACGCUGGACGGCACUUGUGUCGCCCUUGUCACAAUAGGGAGAAAGCUCGGGGGCUGGGGAAGUACAUCUGUCAGAAGUGUCACGCCAUCAUAGAGGAACGGCCUCUGCUGUUCAAGAACGAUCCCUAUCACCCUGACCACUUCAACUGCACCAACUGCGGAAAGGAGCUGACAGCUGAUGCCAGGGAGCUGAAGGGGGAGCUCUACUGUCUGCCCUGCCACGACAAGAUGGGCGUCCCUAUCUGCGGGGCCUGCAGGAGACCGAUUGAGGGCCGUGUGGUCAAUGCCAUGGGCAAGCAGUGGCACGUUGAGCAUUUUGUGUGUGCUAAAUGUGAGAAACCCUUCUUGGGACACCGUCACUACGAGCGAAAGGGCCUGGCCUACUGCGAAACACAUUACAACCAGCUGUUCGGAGAUGUUUGCUACCACUGCAAUCGUGUCAUCGAAGGAGACGUGGUGUCUGCCCUGAACAAGGCUUGGUGUGUUAACUGUUUUGCCUGCUCCACCUGUAACACCAAGCUCACCCUGAAGGAAAAGUUUGUGGAGGUGGACCUGAAGCCAGUGUGUAAACACUGCUAUGAGCGCCUCCCAGAAGACAUGAAGCGCCGGCUGGUUAAGCGUGAACGUGAUUCAAGAGAGAAGAAGAAGAAACCACUGAUCCCCAUGUGUCUGUGACCUUCUGUUUUCCCUUCUGUCCUCGCUUCAACUGUCCUUCCUUUGGUCAGUUGCAACUCUUUUCUCUGCCUUUUUGUGCGUUUGUUCAACAUUUUAUCCUGCUGCAACCCUACUGGAACACAUCCGUCCCUCAGAUUCAGCAGGAACAAGUUUGUGGAGUUUGACAUGAAGCCGGUGUGUAAGAAAUGCUACGAGAAGUUCCCCUUGGAGCUGAAGAAGAGGCUGAAGAAGCUCUCUGAAGCUGCUGCUCGGAAGUGAGCGUGCAGCUGAAGGAGAUGAAACCGGGAGCCCUGUGCUCUUGUCCACCAUCGAGUAUUUUUUAAAAUAAUUUGCAUUUAAAUUGGUUAUUUAGGUGGAACGCCUCACCUGUUUCUCUUGCUGAAGAGCUCCUGAGGCUGACAGGUGGCUCCACAGUCAGACUUGGUUGGUCAAGUAGCUGCACUAAAUGCGUAAAUGCUGUGCUGUUUAUUUUAUGCUUAUUUCACAGCCUGGCUGACAGUGUUUCCAUCUUUAAAAACUAAAUAUCAGCUUUGGGUGACACGUUUUUGUUAUGAAUAAGAAUUUUCUCCUGCUUAACUCAUAAGAAAGGAGUAAAAUCAAGAAAAGCCAAAACCAUCUUGUAUAAUAAAUAGUAAAACUGGACUGAAUGUUUCCAGAUUUCUUCCUAUGUGUCUUUGUAUAAUUAAAGUGUGUUUCGUUAAAGCAGCAACAGCUAUCAUGCCAACUAUCACCAGCAGUAUCCUAAUGCUUUGUUAUAUUAUUUAUUUAGUUUGUAUCUUCGAAGAUUUGGUCAACAAAUUUUAGAUUUGCAUGUAAAAUGAAAAGAAAAUUCAAGUUCUGUUAAAGCAACAUCCCUGAAGAAAACAACUGUCACGGCAACUGUUACUUCGCUGUGUGUUACAACACGACCGCAUGUGCAGCGAACCGCAUGUGGGAGUAAUGUCAAGCAUCAGAGUGUUUGUAAUCCAAAGAAAGUGAUCCUCUUAGGAAGUGUACCAACUUCCUCGAGGCUCAGACUCACUUGAGGUCAGCUGUUCUUAUUCUCAAACCUGUUUAUUUAUUCUAUAUUUUAUCACUAGAAGCUUAUUUUUGCAUUAGAAUAUAACAAAAAAAGCACAUUCCACAGUUUUAUGAACACAAAGUGUAAGUUUAUGUUUCACAUUUCAGCACUGAAGCCACAUCAUUUCUCCUGCAGAAGCACUGAUCGUAUCUAGGCAGUAACUUUUGCAGCUCUACAGUUGGUUCAGGGCAUAGCUUCAUGUUUUUACUUGCUCAACAAUGUGUUGCACGGAAGGAUUCUCUUCUGAUGCUGUAUUUUGUCUGGCAGUAUUUUGGAAAACAUUUUCUUCAUAAAUCGCUAAAGUGCAUGGUUGAGACUUGAAUGAAAAAUGCAUUUUAAUGUACCAAGUGCUGUGCUGUCCUGUUCACUUAUCUGAAUAAAAAACUGUUCAAAGCUU